ensembl:miRNA mir-356.2 ncRNA
UUUGUUCGCGUUGCUCAACCACA